CACUAUUCAUGUAAUAUAAAAAUAUCAAUUUUUAUAUGUGAAAAUAUCAGUUCUCUUCUAAUUAAGAUCUCAUUGGCCAUGCAUGCGACUUUGUGAGGGAUAUUAUUUUUAAUUUACUUCCCUUUAGUUUGAGGUGUUAAUCUUAUUAAGUUACAGAUUUUGUUAAUUUUCCAAUUUCUUCAUUUUAAAAAUUAGGAAACUUAUAUUCAUG
rnacentral:lncRNA from 1 species